rnacentral:rRNA from 1 species
AUUGAACGCUGGCGGCAGGCUUAACACAUGCAAGUCGAACGGUAACAGGGUGCUUGCACCGCUGACGAGUGGCGAACGGGUGAGUAAUGCGUCGGAACGUGCCGGGUAGUGGGGGAUAACGCAGCGAAAGUUGUGCUAAUACCGCAUACGUACUGAGGUAGAAAGUGGGGGACCUUCGGGCCUCACGCUAUUCGAGCGGCCGACGUCUGAUUAGCUAGUAGGUGAGGUAAAGGCUCACCUAGGCGACGAUCAGUAGCGGGUCUGAGAGGAUGAUCCGCCACACUGGGACGGAGACACGGCCCAGACUCCUACGGGAGGCAGCAGUGGGGAAUUUUGGACAAUGGGCGAAAGCCUGAUUCAGCCAUGCCGCGUGUCUGAAGAAGGCCUUCGGGUUGUAAAGGACUUUUGUCAGGGAGGAAAUCCCUAGUGCUAAUAACACUGGGGGAUGACAGUACCUGAAGAAUAAGCACCGGCUAACUACGUGCCAGCCGCCGCGGUAA